CCUACGGGUGGCUGCAGUGAGGAAUAUUUGUCAAUUUCCUAUAUUCUUAACCAUCCAAUUCUCGUUAUGGAAGACGGCCCUACGGGUUGUAAACCUCUUUUGUCGGGGAGCAAAGCGAGUCACGUGUGACUCAUUGAGAGUACCCGAAGAAAAAGCAUCGGCUAACUCCGUGCCAGCAGCCGCGGUAAUACGGAGGAUGCGAGCGUUAUCCGGAUUUAUUGGGUUUAAAGGGUGCGCAGGCGGAGGUGCAAGUCAGCGGUCAAAUUGCGGGGCUCAACCCCGUACUGCCGUUGAAACUGCAUCCCUUGAGUGCGCGAGAAGUAUGCGGAAUGCGUGGUGUAGCGGUGAAAUGCAUAGAUAUCACGCAGAACUCCGAUUGCGAAGGCAGCAUACCGGCGCGCAACUGACGCUCAUGCACGAAAGCGUGGGUAUCGAACAGGAUUAGAUACCCCAGUAGUC
rnacentral:rRNA from 1 species